GGGAGGUCUGAAAGGCUGAGGAAGAAAGCAGGGAUGUCAGAGGGAGGUCUGAAAGGCUGAGGAAGAAAGCAGAGCGCGGAGCGACUGCGUGCAUGAGAAGUAGCUACACACCUGUAACUGUAAGCCAUGGACGAAGACGCAGCAACUUGGAGUGGGAAUGUGAGGGCUCUGUCAUUAGUCGCAGUGUAUUUGCUGGCUUGCAAGACUGAGAAGACCCCCAAAACAUCAGAUGAGCUUGCCCUAAUGCAGGCAGGGAUAAGGAAAAGAUAUCAAGCCUGUUAGAGAAGUACCCCAGAAUAGCCUCGAUCUCAGGCGGUUGGUUGUUCUACAAGUCAUCAGG